rnacentral:lncRNA from 7 species
AUCCCUGGUCUUCCAUGAGGGUCAGCAGCAAGCUGAGAGCAUCAGAGCCAUCAGUCUCACGGGAGAGCAAGGUACCCAUAAGGUGUUGCUGGCAGCACAACGUUGGCAGCCUGCAGGAUUUCAGUUUUCAUUUCAACAUUUCAAGAAGUCUGAGAAGCCUUCGGAAAUGCACCCUAAGUCAAUUACUGUCUUAACAUCUGUCUGAUGCUUCAAUGAGCUCAAAGCAAUCUGCUUGAGAUGUAUUAGCACCAGGGAAGGUCCAGAAGGAUAUCAAGUAUAAAGCAUUACAGAGGUGCAUGGACCUUUCCAGGACAGCAGUCAGAGGUGCAAACACCUUCCUGCCUCUUGCUGACUACUGCUCAUGCAUUCAGGUCCUUGACACAGUAGUUCCCAAGGGUAAGGUUGAUCUUUCUCUAAUGGUUUCCCUACCACCCCAUCUUGAAGAUCUGGAGCAGGGUUGGGAUUUACCACUGCAGAAGUGAGACGUGGACUGAAUCCUCCCCAUCGCCACCAUUCAAGGAGCAGCCAACACUGCAGCUAAGUGAGGCAAGGUCUAAGGAUGAUUCUUUUGUCUAUUAAGGCAAAAUACCUCUUUUCAAGCAUUUAUUCAAAACACAGUCAAUAAGCUGGGCUUGUCUUUUCUGCCAAACUAGAGGUAGCAACAAAACCCAGGGUCUCAGUACUCACAUCCAAUCCUGUGACUUGGACAGAUAAAAAAGAGAAUGGUAUCUAAUCUCUGCUUGCAGAUUUGUCUACUGCCAGGCCUUGUAGAAUCAUUAAGAUUGGAAAAGACCUCUAAGAUCACCAAGUCCAACCCCCACCAUGCCCACUGACCACGUCCCUCAGUGCCACAUCUCCACGGUUCUCAAACCCCUCCAGGGAUGGUGACUCCACCACCACCCUGGGCAGGCUGUGCCAAUGCAUUACCACUCUUUUGGAGCAGCAGUUUUUCAUAAUAUCCAACAUCAUGUAGUCUUACGGACACACUGAUUAAUUGCAGGAAACAUACAGCUGUUAUCUCUUUUCUGUUACAUCAGCUGAGAACCAGGGAUGUGCGUUGUUAUUUGCCUUACUCUGGGAAUCUACAAUAUCUUUAUUGAUGUUAAGGCUGGUGCUCAUGUGAUUUUUCAUGAGAUACUGGCUUGUGCCUCUCCCUUGGGUAGAGAAAAUGCCCAGUGGGGGCUUCAGGCAUGAAACUUCAGGCAUGAAACUCCCAUGAAGAGCAAAUGGGAAUUAGAAUUGUGAUGGCCUGUUGAAAUAACAAUAGUGAUAAUACAUCAGGAUUUGAAGGGCUAAUCAAGUGGUAAAUGGAGUUUGCCCGGGAAGAAGCAAAUCAACCUUUGACUUUCAGCUCCAUAAAGCAUACACAAGUGAUACUUGGAUGGUGCAGAUCUCACCUUGUGCACUGUGCAUUGCAGCAGUACAGCCUCUUUCAGUCCUGAUUUGUGACUAAAAGUACACAAGUACAUAUCAAUGUGCACAACAACAGAAGAUUAAAUUAACAUUAUUGCAUAAAACAAGAACAGUAUAGGACUCAAUUGUAGGUCUCAAUUGUAGGUCCCUUGCAGGUCCCUACAAUUCUGUGAUUCUGUGAUUUAUCAUCAAGACAGAAUAUCUACUUCUUAGCCAUUGGAGUAUAUAAAAAGUGGCCUUUCCUUUAUAGGAGACUGAAUUCCUCUUAAGCACUCCCUUUUUGUGUUUGGCUUGAGCUGCGCAUACUACAGCAUCAUAAAGUUUGGGACUUGGGCUACUUUGUAGGCACACAUGCACUACAGCUCUAAAACAAAAGGAAAUGUUUCAUACACAAGUUUUCCAUGUGACAACUUGGGCUGAGGGUAAUAAGGAUGUCAAACCGUUGUCCCAUGUAAGAGCCAUUUCUGCCCCAUGUAGUUUUCUGUAGUAGGGACAGUACUGUCUCUGCAUCCACCUCCACCAUAGCACCUCGAUGAGUGUUUCUCAUACCCUGUGCUGCUAGAGGAGAAGCAUUUGUAGAUAAAUGGCUAAAAAAGCACCAUCUGAAGCAUACCUGAGCCAUACUAAAUUGUCUAUGCCGUGAUGAAAAUUCUGCACAUUAAAGGAAACAUCUGGACAGUUUUGCUAUCCAAAAAGUAAUAGUUAUUUAAUGGUGUAAAUCUUUUGCCUGGCAUUUGUACUUCAACACCCAGAGCAAGCAGGUAAAUAAAACCUCUAAUGCUUC